UGACGGAAUAGACUUUAUGGUGUCAGUGA
rnacentral:piRNA from 1 species